rnacentral:tRNA from 1 species
GCCCAAGUGGCUCAGUUGGUUGAGCGUCCGACUUCGGCUCGGGUCAUGAUCUCGCGGUCUGUGAGUUCGAGCCCCAUGUCGGGCU